rnacentral:rRNA from 1 species
GAGAAGCUUGCUUCUCUGAUGUUAGCGGCGGACGGGUGAGUAACACGUGGAUAACCUACCUAUAAGACUGGGAUAACUUCGGGAAACCGGAGCUAAUACCGGAUAAUAUUUUGAACCGCAUGGUUCAAAAGUGAAAGACGGUCUUGCUGUCACUUAUAGAUGGAUCCGCGCUGCAUUAGCUAGUUGGUAAGGUAACGGCUUACCAAGGCAACGAUGCAUAGCCGACCUGAGAGGGUGAUCGGCCACACUGGAACUGAGACACGGUCCAGACUCCUACGGGAGGCAGCAGUAGGGAAUCUUCCGCAAUGGGCGAAAGCCUGACGGAGCAACGCCGCGUGAGUGAUGAAGGUCUUCGGAUCGUAAAACUCUGUUAUUAGGGAAGAACAUAUGUGUAAGUAACUGUGCACAUCUUGACGGUACCUAAUCAGAAAGCCACGGCUAACUACGUGCCAGCAGCCGCGGUAAUACGUAGGUGGCAAGCGUUAUCCGGAAUUAUUGGGCGUAAAGCGCGCGUAGGCGGUUUUUUAAGUCUGAUGUGAAAGCCCACGGCUCAACCGUGGAGGGUCAUUGGAAACUGGAAAACUUGAGU